UACGGAGGGUGCAAGCAUUGAUCGGAAUUACUGGGCGUAAAGGGCGCGUAGGCGGAAAUAUAAGUCAGAUGUGAAAUCCUAGGGCUCAACCCUAGAACAGCAUUUGAAACUAUAUUCCUUGAGGGUAGGCGGAGAAAACGGAAUUCCACAUGUAGCGGUGAAAUGCGUAGAUAUGUGGCAGAACAUCGGUGGCGAAGGCGGUUUUCUAGCUUAUACCUGACGCUGAGGCGCGAAAGUAAGGGGAUCAAACAGG
rnacentral:rRNA from 1 species